rnacentral:rRNA from 1 species
UGGGGAAUAUUGCACAAUGGGCACAAGCCUGAUGCAGCCAUGCCGCGUGUGUGAAGAAGGCCUUCGGGUUGUAAAGCACUUUCAGCGGGGAGGAAGGCGUUAAGGUUAAUAACCUUGGCGAUUGACGUUACCCGCAGAAGAAGCACCGGCUAACUCCGUGCCAGCAGCCGCGGUAAUACGGAGGGUGCAAGCGUUAAUCGGAAUUACUGGGCGUAAAGCGCACGCAGGCGGUCUGUCAAGUCGGAUGUGAAAUCCCCGGGCUCAACCUGGGAACUGCAUUCGAAACUGGCAGGCUAGAGUCUUGUAGAGGGGGGUAGAAUUCCAGGUGUAGCGGUGAAAUGCGUAGAGAUCUGGAGGAAUACCGGUGGCGAAGGCGGCCCCCUGGACAAAGACUGACGCUCAGGUGCGAAAGCGUGGGGAGCAAACAGG